rnacentral:rRNA from 1 species
GCAUAUCAUAAGCGGAGGAAAAGAAACUAACAAGGAUUCCCCUAGUAACGGCGAGUGAAGCGGGAUGAGCUCAAAUUUGAAAUCUGGCUGGUUUACUAGUCCRAGUUGUAAUUUAAAGAARCGUUUUCGGUGGCAGCCUGGGUAUAAAUCCUUUGGAAUAGGGUAUCAUARAGGGUGAGAAUCCCGUCUUUGACCUASUGCAUGCUACUAUGUGAUACSUUUUCAAAGAGUCGAGUUGUUUGGGAAUGCAGCUCAAAAUGGGKGGUAAAUUUCAUCUAAAGCUAAAUAUUGGCGAGAGACCGAUAGCGAACAAGUACCGUGAGGGAAAGAUGAAAAGAACUUUGAAAAGAGAGUUAAACAGUGCGUGAAAUUGUUGAAAGGGAAACGUUUGACACCAGUCAUGUGGGUGGAAAAUCAGUCUUUUGCAUUGGGGAGUUGUAAAGGUUCGGACCGCAAGGCCGGCUUUUGCUUCAUCUUUGGUGUAAGGGAUGCACUUUUUCAUCUACAGGUCAACAUCAGUUUCUUUUGCUGGACAAAACUCCGAGAGAAGGUAGCAGCUUAGGCUGUGUUAUAGCUCUGGAGCGAUACAGUGAAGGGGACUGAGGUUUUCGCAGCGUGUGCUCUCGGGCAAGGCUGGAUGGGUGCUAUGGGAUCGUUCGGGGUACAAUGCCUGGCAUUUUGCUUCGUGUCUUUUCUAUACUCGCUCAACUCAGCUCUUCCACGCUUAGGAUGUUGACUUAAUGGUUUUAAACGACCCGUCUUGAAACACGGACCAAGGAGUCUAACAUAUAUGCAAGUGUUUGGGUGGCAAACCCAUGCGCGUAAUGAAAGUGAACGUAGGUGCGAUCCGCAAGGUGCAGCAUCGACCGAUCUUGAUAUUUUUGGAUAGAUUUGAGUAAGAGCCMUAUAUGCUGGGACCCGAAAGAUGGUGAACUAUGCCUGAAUAGGGKGAAGCCAGAGGAAACUCUGGUGGAGGCUCGUAGCGAUUCUGACGUGCAAAUCGAUCGUCAAAUUUGGGUAUAGGGGCGAAAGACU